GAUGAACGCUAGCGGCAGGCCUAAUACAUGCAGGUCGGACGGGAUUUGGGAGCUUGCUCCUAAUGAGAGUGGCGCACGGGUGCGUAACACGUAUGUAACCUACCUUAAUCAGGGGGAUAGCCUCUCGAAAGAGAGAUUAACACCGCAUAACAUAUUUUUAUGGCAUCGUAGAAAUAUCAAAUAUUUAUAGGAUUAAGAUGGGCAUGCGGAACAUUAGCUAGUUGGUAAGGUAACGGCUUACCAAGGCUACGAUGUUUAGGGGAUCUGAGAGGAUGGCCCCCCACACGAGUACUGAGACCCGGACCAGACUCCUACGGGAGGCAGCAGGAAGGAAUAUUGGUCAAUUGUCGCAAGCCUGAACCAGCCAUGCCGCGUGCAGGAAGACGGCCCUAUGGGUUGUAAACUGCUUUUGUACCGGAAUAAACCCUUUUACGUGUAAAAGGCUGAAUGUACGGUAAGAAUAAGGAUCGGCUAACUCCGUGCCAGCAGCCGCCGUAA
rnacentral:rRNA from 1 species